rnacentral:lncRNA from 1 species
UCUCCAUCUUCUUUGUUCUUUCCCUCUCUUUCUUCUCUUCUCAUAAGUCUUGCUCAGUUGAAGAAUGAAGAAUCCAACAAAUCUGCAGGAUUCUAAUGCAUCAACCCUCCUUCCCAAUGCUUGCAUCCUCCCUACACCAUCAUCUAUCAUUCAUGGAUUUAUUUUUUAUGUUUAUAUUCUCAUCAUCCUUUGAUAAGAUCUACUCCUUUCAUGAUUAUUGAUUUUGUAAUUCAUUAUUGCUAGUAAUUUUUUGCAUGCUCAAAUCGAAUCUCCAUGUUCUUGGACAACAAAAGGAUUUGCUAACAACC